UACGUAGGGUGCGAGCGUUAAUCGGAAUUACUGGGCGUAAAGCGUGCGCAGGCGGUUAUGUAAGACAGGUGUGAAAUCCCCGGGCUUAACCUGGGAACUGCAUUUGUGACUGCAUAGCUAGAGUACGGUAGAGGGGGAUGGAAUUCCGCGUGUAGGCAGUGAAAUGCGUAGAUAUGACGGGAGGAACACCGAUGGCGAAGGCAAUCCCCUGGACCUGUACUGACGCUCAUGCACGAAAGCGUGGGGAGCAAACAGG
rnacentral:rRNA from 1 species